UUUUCUAUAUACUAUUUCAAAUUUAUUCAUUAAAUAGCACAUCAAAUUUAAAAAAAAACUACCCGCAAAAAAAACUACCCGCUAAAAAAACUACCCGCAACCCGCAAAAAACUAUUCGCAAAAAAACUACCCAAAAUACUGCCUUCAAGUGGUUUAUUUCAUAUUUAUUUGAUCGAAAACAAUUUUGCAAGGUGGGAAGUGCAGC